GACGAACGCUGGCGGCGUGCCUAAUACAUGCAAGUAGAACGCUGAAGGAGGAGCUUGCUUCUCUGGAUGAGUUGCGAACGGGUGAGUAACGCGUAGGUAACCCGCCUGGUAGCGGGGGAUAACUAUUGGAAACGAUAGCUAAUACCGCAUAACAGUAGAUGUUGCAUGACAUUUGCUUAAAAGGUGCAAUUGCAUCACUACCAGAUGGACCUGCGUUGUAUUAGCUAGUUGGUGGGGUAACGGCUCACCAAGGCGACGAUACAUAGCCGACCUGAGAGGGUGAUCGGCCACACUGGGACUGAGACACGGCCCAGACUCCUACGGGAGGCAGCAGUAGGGAAUCUUCGGCAAUGGACGGAAGUCUGACCGAGCAACGCCGCGUGAGUGAAGAAGGUUUUCGGAUCGUAAAGCUCUGUUGUAAGAGAAGAACGAGCGCGAGAGUGGAAAGUUCACACUGUGACGGAUCUAUCAGAAAGGACG
rnacentral:rRNA from 1 species